CAGCACUUAAGAGAAAAGAAAAAGCCUGGAUUCUGGUACUGUUGCUACUAAGCCAUUUAUGUACAAGCGUAAGAAUUCCUUUGAGAAAUCCAUCCAACCUUCUGUUUACUACAAUGGCCAGCCAUUCUGCCUCUCAUUACCAGUUGCUUGGGACAGUCAAUGAGAGAUGGGCAACAGCAUCAUGAUGGUACUUUGCCCAAUCCCAGCAGCAGGUCACUGGGAUGAUGACAACCCUCUCAGCCUGGUGGCCCCAGGUGCGAAUCUUGUCAUCAGAGGUGGAUAUACACAGAGGUGCUCUUUAGCUUUCGUGGUUAAUCAUCAUUAAUAGACUUUUCCUUCAUGAUUUUGGCCAAUUCUUUUCUACAAACAUCUCAGGUAGCAGCCAUCGGUACAUUUUGCAGCAGUGAAUUCAAUUAGUUAGGUACACGAAGAAGUAUUUCCUCCUGUCGAAAUGGAAUCUCGAGGCUGUUGUUGUUGUUUAGUUGUUUAGUUGUGUCCGACUCUUCAUGACCCCCUGGACCAGAGCACGCCAAGCACUCCUGUCUUCCACUGCCUCCCACAGUUUGGUCAAACUCAUGCUGGUAGCUUCCACAACACUAUCCAACCAUCUCGUUCUCUGUCGCCCCCUUCUCCUUGUGCCCUCCAUCUUUCCCAACAUCAGGGUCUUUUCCAGGGAGUCUUCUCUUCUCAUGAGGUGGCCAAAGUAUUGGAGCCUCAGCUUCAGGAUCUGUCCUUCCAGUGAGCACUCAGGGCUGAUUUCCUUCAGAAUGGAGAGGUUUGAUCUUCUUGCAGUCCAUGGGACUCUCAAGAGUCUCCUCCAGCACCGUAAUUCAAAAGCAUCAAUUCUUUGGCGAUCAGCCUUCUUUAUGGUCCAGCUCUCACUUCCAUAUAUCACGACUGGGAAAACCAUGGCUUUAACUAUUCAGACCUUUGUUGGCAAGGUGACGUCUCGAGGCUGAGCAGCCUACAACCCUUGUAUUAUUGUGGAGGGAGGAAACUUUCUCCCACCCAUUUCCCCCCACCAUUACUUAAACAAAACCUUCAGCACAA